ACUGGGUGUGGUGGUGCAUGCCUGUAAUCCCAGUGACUCGGGAGGCUGAGGCAGGAGGAUCACAAGUUCGAGGGCAAACUCAGCAACUUAGUGAGGCCCUAAGAAACUUAGUGAGACCCUCUCUCAA
rnacentral:sRNA from 1 species